rnacentral:rRNA from 1 species
GAUGAACGUUGGCGGCGUGCCUAACACAUGCAAGUCGAACGGACCCAAUUCUUCGGAUGAGGGUUAGUGGCAAACGGGUGAGUAACACGUAGGUGACCUGCCCCGAAGUGGGGGAUAACAACUGGAAACGGUUGCUAAUACCGCAUGUGCUCGACGAUUCAUUUCGUCGAGUAAAGUUCCGGCGCUUCGGGAGGGGCCUGCGGUCGAUUAGCUAGUUGGUAGGGUAAUGGCCUACCAAGGCGAUGAUCGAUAGGGGGCGCGAGAGCGCGACCCCCCACACUGGGACUGUGACACGGCCCAGACCCCUACGGGAGGCAGCAGUGAGGAAUAUUGCACAAUGGGCGCAAGCCUGAUGCAGCAACGCCGCGUGAGGGACGAAGGCCUUCGGGUCGUAAACCUCUUUUCUGAGGGACGAGAAAGGACGGUACCUCAGGAAUAAGUCUCGGCUAACUACGUGCCAGCCGCCGCGGUAACAC